UUUAUACGGUGAAACUGCGAAUGGCUCAUUAAAUCAGUUAUCGUUUAUUUGAUAGUACCUUACUACAUGGAUACCUGUGGUAAUUCUAGAGCUAAUACAUGCUAAAAACCUCGACUUCGGAAGGGGUGUAUUUAUUAGAUAAAAAACCAAUGCCCUUCGGGGCUCCUUGGUGAAUCAUAAUAACUUAACGAAUCGCAUGGCCUUGCGCCGGCGAUGGUUCAUUCAAAUUUCUGCCCUAUCAACUUUCGAUGGUAGGAUAGUGGCCUACCAUGGUGGCAACGGGUAACGGGGAAUUAGGGUUCGAUUCCGGAGAGGGAGCCUGAGAAACGGCUACCACAUCCAAGGAAGGCAGCAGGCGCGCAAAUUACCCAAUCCCGACACGGGGAGGUAGUGACAAUAAAUACUGAUACGGGGCUCUUUUGGGUCUCGUAAUUGGAAUGAGUACAAUCUAAAUCCCUUAACGAGGAACAAUUGGAGGGCAAGUCUGGUGCCAGCAGCCGCGGUAAUUCCAGCUCCAAUAGCGUAUAUUAAAGUUGUUGCAGUUAAAAAGCUCGUAGUUGAACCUUGGGUCUGGCUGGCCGGUCCGCCUCACCGCGAGUACUGGUCCGGCUGGACCUUUCCUUCUGGGGAACCUCAUGGCCUUCACUGGCUGUGGGGGGAACCAGGACUUUUACUGUGAAAAAAUUAGAGUGUUCAAAGCAGGCCUUUGCUCGAAUACAUUAGCAUGGAAUAAUAGAAUAGGACGUGCGGUUCUAUUUUGUUGGUUUCUAGGACCGCCGUAAUGAUUAAUAGGGAUAGUCGGGGGCGUCAGUAUUCAGCUGUCAGAGGUGAAAUUCUUGGAUUUGCUGAAGACUAACUACUGCGAAAGCAUUCGCCAAGGAUGUUUUCAUUAAUCAGGGAACGAAAGUUAGGGGAUCGAAGACGAUCAGAUACCGUCGUAGUCUUAACCAUAAACUAUGCCGACUAGGGAUCGGGCGGUGUUUCUAUGAUGACCCGCUCGGCACCUUACGAGAAAUCAAAG
rnacentral:rRNA from 1 species